UACGUAGGGGGCGAGCGUUGUCCGGAAUCAUUGGGCGUAAAGCGCGUGUAGGCGGUCCAGUAAGUCGGAUGUGAAAUCCCAGGGCUCAACCCUGGAACUGCAUCCGAUACUGCCGGACUUGAGGUAGGUAGGGGAGAGUGGAAUUUCUGGUGUAGCGGUGGAAUGCGCAGAUAUCAGAAGGAACACCGAUAGCGAAGGCAGCUCUCUGGGCCUCACCUGACGCUGAGACGCGAAAGCAUGGGUAGCGAACAGG
rnacentral:misc_RNA from 1 species